rnacentral:rRNA from 1 species
UGGGGAAUAUUGCACAAUGGGCGCAAGCCUGAUGCAGCCAUGCCGCGUGUGUGAAGAAGGCCUUCGGGUUGUAAAGCACUUUCAGCGAGGAGGAAGGUGGUGGACUUAAUACGUUCAUCAAUUGACGUUACUCGCAGAAGAAGCACCGGCUAACUCCGUGCCAGCAGCCGCGGUAAUACGGAGGGUGCAAGCGUUAAUCGGAAUUACUGGGCGUAAAGCGCACGCAGGCGGUUUGUUAAGUCAGAUGUGAAAUCCCCGGGCUCAACCUGGGAACUGCAUUUGAAACUGGCAAGCUAGAGUCUCGUAGAGGGGGGUAGAAUUCCAGGUGUAGCGGUGAAAUGCGUAGAGAUCUGGAGGAAUACCGGUGGCGAAGGCGGCCCCCUGGACGAAGACUGACGCUCAGGUGCGAAAGCGUGGGGAGCAAACAGAUUAGAUACCCUGGUAGUCCAGCGCUGUAAACGAUGUCGAUUUUGGAGGUUGUGCCCCUUGAGGCGUGGCUUCCGGAGCUAACGCGUUAAAUCGACCGCCUGGGGAGUACGGCCGCAAGGUUAAAACUC